UACGUAGGUGGCAAGCGUUGUCCGGAUUUACUGGGCGUAAAGAGCGCGCAGGCGGCCGAGUAAGUCGAAUGUGAAAGCCCCCGGCUCAACUGGGGAAGGUCAUUCGAUACUGUUCGGCUUGAAGAUAGGAGAGGGAAGCGGAAUUUCAGGUGUAGUGGUGAAAUGCGUAGAUAUCGGAAGGAACAUCAGUGGCGAAAGCGGCUUCCUGGACCAGUACCGACGUUCAGGCACGAAAGCGUGGGGAGCAAACAGG
rnacentral:rRNA from 1 species